GAGCGAGGAGCGGCCGGGUGUGAGAGUGUGUUUGGGGGUGGGGGCGAGUGUGUGUGUGUGUGUGUGUGGGAGUGCGUGUGGGAGUGCGUGUGGGAGUGCGUGGGAGUGGGAGUGGGGGUGAGGGACAGCCAGACCGACCGCGAGGCUGUGAGAAAGUGGGCGAGUGUGCGAGGGUGCCCGGCCUGGCUGCGGGAGCCGCGGUGGCGGAGGAGAAAGGAGGCGGCUCCCGGCAUCCCGACCCCCUCCCCCUCCUCUCCUUCUCGGACUUCCAGCCAGCCUGCCCGGCAGCCCGCGGUUCCCUCGGAGGCCCCAGCCCGGCUCCGCUGGCCGAGAGCGAGGGAGGAGCCGCCGGAGCCAGAGAGAAUCGUCAUUCAGGAGGAAAUAAUCCAGGAAAAGGAAGAACAAGCAGAUCAAGAUGUGUAGCUCUGUGGCGGCCAAGUUGUGGUUUUUGACCGAUCGUCGAAUCAGGGAAGACUAUCCCCAAAAAGAGAUUUUACGAGCAUUAAAGGCCAAAUGUUGUGAGGAGGAACUGGACUUCAGGGCUGUGGUGAUGGAUGAAGUAGUACUGACAAUCGAGCAAGGAAACUUGGGUCUACGGAUCAAUGGAGAACUAAUUACUGCCUACCCCCAGGUGGUGGUAGUGAGAGUACCAACCCCUUGGGUGCAGAGUGAUAGUGACAUCACUGUUUUGCGCCAUCUAGAGAAGAUGGGAUGCCGGUUGAUGAACCGACCUCAAGCCAUCCUGAACUGUGUUAAUAAGUUCUGGACAUUUCAAGAGUUGGCGGGCCAUGGUGUUCCUCUGCCAGAUACUUUCUCUUAUGGUGGUCAUGAAAAUUUUGCUAAAAUGAUCGAUGAAGCAGAAGUACUGGAGUUUCCAAUGGUAGUGAAGAAUACGCGGGGUCAUAGAGGCAAAGCUGUUUUCUUGGCUCGAGAUAAGCACCAUUUGGCUGAUCUAAGCCAUCUUAUUCGCCAUGAAGCUCCAUACCUGUUCCAGAAGUACGUUAAAGAGUCUCAUGGACGGGAUGUGCGUGUCAUUGUUGUGGGAGGCCGUGUGGUUGGCACCAUGUUACGUUGUUCAACGGAUGGAAGGAUGCAAAGUAACUGCUCACUAGGUGGUGUGGGGAUGAUGUGCUCCUUGAGUGAACAAGGGAAGCAGCUAGCUAUCCAGGUGUCUAAUAUCCUGGGGAUGGAUGUGUGUGGCAUUGACCUAUUGAUGAAAGAUGACGGCUCCUUCUGUGUCUGCGAGGCCAAUGCAAAUGUAGGUUUCAUCGCCUUUGAUAAGGCUUGUAAUCUAGAUGUAGCUGGUAUCAUAGCGGACUAUGCCGCCUCCCUCCUGCCCUCUGGCCGGCUCACCCGGCGUAUGUCCCUGCUCUCCGUGGUGUCCACGGCCAGUGAGACUAGUGAGCCGGAGCUGGGUCCCCCAGCCAGCACUGCUGUCGACAACAUGAGCGCAAGUUCCAGCUCUGUUGACAGCGACCCUGAAAGCACGGAGCGAGAGCUACUCACCAAGCUCCCAGGGGGCCUAUUCAACAUGAACCAGCUGCUAGCCAAUGAAAUCAAACUCCUGGUGGAGUGACUCCACCGGUAAAUAAUUAACCAACAAAACCCUUGUAAAACUCACUUUCUUUUUCUUCUUUUUUUCCCCUUUCUUUCCUUCCUUUUUUUUUUUUUUAAACCAACUUGCAAUGCUGUUCAUGGAAGGUACUCAGGAAGAUGAGAAAAUUGAGUAGGAUUAGUUAGGAGAGAAGACAGGGGAGAGAGAUAGACCUCUGCUAUUAAGAUGUUACUGACUUUUGUUUACGGAUAGUGCAGACAGGCAGAAGAGGUGAGAUACAGAAACACAUCAGGCUCUUACAGUUAACCUUUUAAUCACUCAAAAAUGUGUAUGCUCUCAGACCAUCAAGAACACACAUUUUUUUUUCAUGGUCUCUUGCUUUUGCUUUUGUAUAGUUGCUACAAAAUUGAGAGUAGGAUAACUUCACAUUGUGUUGCAAAGAUUUGUGAUGAGCGAGGAAAAUAAUCUACCUAAAUUAUAGGAAUUUUUUUAUACAAGUCUGAAAAUUCUGCCUUUACCAUAUUAACUAGCAACUUUAUGUCCGUAGUUUAUGAAAUCUUGAAGAGCUAUUUUGCUGGGAUUUAUAAUUUUUGUGCUUCGGUUUUUCCCUUCAUUUGGGUGGGAGGGCAGUAUUAAUAUAACCCAAUAAAGGUUUUUUCUAAUGACAAAAUUGGCAUUUUUGCAUGAUAAAAGGGAAAUGAACAGUAUUGCAAUGUCUGGUACACAAGAUGACAUUUACUCCAAUGUAGAUAAAAUUACACUAGUUUAAAAUAUGUGCAUUGACUUGUAUUUGUUAGUGUUUUAAUCUUUUUUGAAAGAUAUAUGCUCUGUUAAUGUUGCAGUUUUUUUUAAUACAUGCUAGUCUAACAUUCCCUGAUCUAUGCCUGCAUCUUUAACAAUGGCCAAAGUGAAGAAAGUGCUACCUUUUUUGUUAACAAGACACUGACUUGAAACAUGUGCAUUUAAAGCCUUUUAUUUUUUCCUUUUUUUCUUUUGGUGGUUGGGCAUUUAAAGUAUAAGGACAAGGAAAAAUAUUUUUGGGGGGCAAAUCAAGGGUCUAUGAGUUCUUUAGUAUAAAGCUGAAGUGAUUUAUAAUACCAGCGUUAUAUAUUUACAUUUUUCACAUUUUAGGAGGGAGUAUAUAUGUGUGUGUGUGCACGCAUGCAUGUGUAUGUGUUUUGCUUUUUGUUUCACCAAACAAUCAAAAAAGAUAGAUUCUAGAAAAUGGAGCAUGAUGGGGAAACAGUUUUUACUUUAAAAAACAGAUAAGUUGUUUUAAUAACUAUACUCCACUGGGGUAGAGGUACUCACUAAAGACAUAAAGAGAAUAGAUGCUUCUUAGGCCUUUUUAUGUAUAUGUAUGUUGUUUGGUUUUUUCUUUGGUUCUAGACUGUUCAGUGUAUGAUUUAUUCAAGGCUACAUGCUUUUCUAUGCUUCUGGCUGUGCAUUUUCUCCUAUUACAUGUAGGUUUGAGGGUGGGGUGGACUGGACAUUUUUGUUUGGGGACUUACUUAGCAGUAUUAAGUCUCUUAUAGCCCAACUCUGAAGCCUUCAACACUGUCCAUUCUUUAUAUUCCUUUAAUUUCUGAAUUUAUAAGAUCCCCCAAAUGGCAUAUAAUACGAGCCUUUGAAACAGGGGUAAAUCUAUUUGAAUAAUGGGUUUGGAAGGUGUGUUAAGAAAUGGAGAUGCUCCAGAGCUCAACGUAAUUUUUUUAAACAGCAAGUUCCAUCUCACUACAAUCCUCUGAAGCUUUUACCCGAGUCCUUUCUUGCCUCUCCAGUGCUUUUUUCCUUCAGAUGGACCUUAAACAUAAUAUCUUGGACACUACUAGAGAGACUUCAAGGCAAUAAUAAAAGAUCAGUAUUAACCAGCUCUAACAGAGGUUUGAUCAUGCUUGUACAGUUUUUCCCGUUUUAAAAAGGAAUGUAAUAAAAGUUGUUUUUUUCCAUAGAAUUAAAUAAUAUUAAAAUUGAGUGAAAGGUUGAUUGUUGACAAAUAGAAUAGUACCUCUAAUCUGUGCAGUGUCUCAUUUCACCUCAGAAAAAGAUAAUAAGAGGAUUUUCUAAUUUAUUUUAGGAUAUUCUAAUCUCCUAUAAAAGAAUUUGACUUGCAUAGAGUUAUUGUGGGCCUUACAUACAUAUAUAAGUACCUCUGUCUCAUUAACAAAAAGAAAUACAUGGUACUUCUUUCACUGAAUGACCAUAGGAGGAUGCAUAAUAUUUGGGAUAGAGAGAUAAAUGAGGGAGAAAGAACUGCUUAAUUAAGUCAUUAUUCAUAUGUUUGUGUAGAGACCAUCUGGUUGUCACAUAAAUUAUGACACAUUAAAUAGUUACAUAUAACAUGUAUAUAGAUUUAUGAAUUUUAUAACAUAAAUAGAACACCCUCUCUAUUUGAUGAAAAACUCAGGGUUUGUGUUGGGUUGGAUAAGGCACUAGGAAAAAUGUAGAUAGACUUUAAAAUUUUUUUUACCAAACUAACCAACUAUAUCAUAAGAAUUAUCUGAGAUUAUUUCACCUUUAGUUUUAUUCACUACUGAUUGAUCUUUUGUGCAUUCACAGUAUAUUAAAACAUAGCUUUACCAACCUAUUUCUGGAUCAUACACUCACAUAUUAAAAGGAAAAGGGUAGGAAUGGUCAUCUUAGACUUUAAAACAUGGGUAUCUUCUUGAACUCACUCAAAAAUUAAGGUAAAGAAUAUGAACAGAUCAUUCUGGAAGAACCCAAAUGAAACAUCCCAGAUAUUGAAGUGAAAGUUAAAUAUAUUUUCUUAUUGUUUAACAACUUUUGUAUUAUCAUUGCUAUUAUGAGAGGUAAAAAUGUAUAUUUAUCAAAUAUGUAUAAGUCUUAUCAUGCCUAAAUCUGAAUUAUUGUAAAAUUGUGUAUUGUUAAAAUUGUAAUUCUUAAUUGUAUUUUAAAAGUAAUUCUGAUAUUGUUUUUAUGUUACCUGUGAUGAAAACUGGACUAUGCACACACAUACACACACAUACACAAAUAUGAACGAUUCCAUUUAAAAUUUUUAAUAGUUUUUUUUCUUUUUUUGGUGCCUAAUAAUUGAUUGGUCAUUUCUGCUGGCUUUUACUCCACUGAACUUUGAAAUCUUUCUGUAUAUGCUAUCAAUAAGAAAAUAUGCUGGAACAUUAGAAAAAUCCAUCAAGAGACUUGCUUUCAUCAAGCACUUUAUCAGACUUUUGAGAAGGUAUCGAAGGCAUUGAAAGAAGUAAUUGACUUUCAAAAUCAUCUCUUCUUUUUCUCAAGAGGAAAACGAUGGAAAAACAAAAUCUCUUCAUUCAGUGAAUCCCCAGUUUGGGGUCUGGGGAGCUUAGAGACGUUGUGAAAUCAAAUCUUGUGUUACAUUUUUCUCCUGGCUCACUCUUUUUGAGAAGGUUUAUGGGCUAUAUGGCUGGUGAGACACGAUCCCCUCCUAAGAAAAUGUAGGUGCUCAGACAGCCUUUUCAGGAGCCAAAAAAACAAAAACAAACAAACAAAAAAAUACCCAGAGAAAAAACUUUCCUUCUUCCCCCUUCCUGAUGAUGAGUGAGAAGUAUUGAGAACUUUCGGGGUCAGUGCCCUUCUAAACUCCCCUUCCCCCAAUAAUGCAGCUGUAUAAUGAAUGGUAAAUGCAGCGGUUUGGAUUCAGGCACAGCCCCAGCCUGCUUGCAGGUAAUUUGACUCUCCUUUCUUUCCAUCGCAAGGCUAACCUUACUUUCUUUUUAAAAAAUUUUCUUUCUUUAUGUACUUUAAAGGCAACUGUGGGUCUGUAAAAACUCUUGUUUAAAAAAAAGAAACAAAACGCAUAUCUAACAGAUAAUUUGAUUAAAGAAGAACUUUUGGGGGUAAAGUUUGAGUUGGUUGGGAUGAACUCAGGACUUUGGGGAUUUACUUUAGCCAUUUAGAUAACUCCAUUCCUUGCAUAUAUGUCUAUAAUUAAGUAUUUCAGAGUGUGACUUUUUUGGCUUUGUUUUUGUUUUGGGUUUGUUUGUUUCUUCCAUUGUGCUACUCUGGCUUAAGCUUUUUCAGGGGUUGGUGUUCCGAAUACAGUGAGCUCACAGUAUAAAGACAUCAAUUAGGAGUUGCCAGGUAUGGAAAACUAGAGUUUUGAAAAGGUAAAAUUAGGUUCUAGGUUAUAUAUAUGGUAAAAACUCAUCAUAGUCUUGAGUUGGUCUUAGUGCUUCUCUUUCUGUGACAUCAUUAUAAAAAUGAAAAGGAAUGAUGAGACAAAGAUAAUAGAAAGCAUUUCAGUUAUUUAAGGAACAGUGUGACUCAGAACUAAUCAUUUUAGCAUUUCUAAGAUGCUAGUUCUAACAAAGAUAGAUGUGAGCAGCUUGAGGUUAUCAUAAUGGUUUAAACAGUAAAAAAUUACAGAUUUGCAAAGAUCGGAGGGCAUUUCUGAAGCACAAAUCAUUAAGCACAUUAACCAAGGCUAUAAAACAAAUAGGAGUUAUCCAUUUUAAUAGCCUUCCCAUUAGCUAAUGUAGUAGCCUCUUCUCUGUCUACCCCAGUCCACCUACCCUUUCCUCCUUUCUCCUGUCUUUCCUAAAGUUUUAGUUCUAAUAUGAGUUACUAUCAUUGGGGAGAAAAAUCCUCUUUCUACUAGACAGCGGUCAGGAACUUUUCAAGAUAUACUUCUGCGUAAUUUUAUUCUGUGGCUUUAGACGUAUAUCCGACGAGGCUUUAAGUUCACUAGUUAGCUAAUAGGAAAAUCCUGGCUUGUAAUGCAUUCUACAGCUGAAGGCAUAAAAUAAAUCAUUAACCUGUUUUGUGCUUCAGUUCACCCAUAACCAGAUAGGACCAGUCUCUCCCCUAAACAUCUUAAGAGAAAAGCAUUUAUCUGUUGAACUGAAAUUUACUAACAAUGGAAUCCCAGCUGCCUCCUGCAGGAAUUUGUGAUAUAUACUUAAAAAGGCUUGUACCAGAGAACUUUGUUCUCUUGCUAUAAGAAUGGCCGGCAUUAGAAUGUGUGGGCUAUGUGAUUGCAUGGGACGUGGAGAAUUUAACAGUCUCCAUUCUGUUAUCCCCAUGAAGAUCACUGACUUGUUAAGAAUGAUCUUGCUUUCAGAUUUCACUAUAUACAAACUUACUAGCUGGGCCUUAUAUAGCGUAUAUACCUGGCUGCUGUUGUGGGGUUUGGGAACAUGAGGGGUGGGGUGAAUUGUUGUUGUUUUAGGUUUCAGUCAGACAGACAUCACUGUGCCCCAGUUCCCAGAAGCACAGCAGGCCUCUAGGAGCAUCCGUGGGAACGGCGCAGUCCUGACAUCACCAACUCUCCUGCUCAGGCUCAUCCCAUAUACAGAGGUCAAAGGGUGGGGUUUGAGAUCGGGGGAAGGAAUGAGAAAGUAGAAACAAUGUUGCUGCAGUGCCACUGUUGACUAGCCUUUGGUGCUUAUGUCUGUUUGUUUUAUUUUUUAUGUUGGCAAAACUGUAUUUUGGGGUAAAGGUAGUGGGAGGGUGGAACAAAAACAAGCCAUUAAUUACUGUUAUUACUGUUCAUUAUUGGAUACUGUUCUUUAGUAGCUAAUGCAGAAUAAACUUUUAACCUAGACCCUCAGGUUAAAAAGAAUGGGAAUAGAAAUGAUAUUCAGGAAUUUAACAAACCGAAAACAUUUAUGUUGUGUUAGUUUCCAGUUCUACAACUGCUAUUACAUUUGUCACUCUGUCUCCCUUUUUUGGCCUAAUUUUUUUGUGUAUGUAUAGAGUUUGAGGAAAUGUGCAUUUGUGAUUAGUCCUUUUAAAAGGACUUAAUGAAUUUAUUACUCUUUUGCAAAAGAUAUACCCAGUGCUUAUAUGGGCAUACAAAUGCUACCCUAUUUUAAAUGUAGGUGGCGUAUGUGUUCGUGUUUUAAUGUAUUCAGAGCCAUUGGGCAAUAAGCAGUCCAGAACAUUGAAAACUCAUGCAGCAGAGAAAUAAACUGGUAGGUGGCAGCAGAAGAAGGAAUUCUUCAGAUUGAUGGCUACUGAAAGAAUCUCCAUAGGACAAGAGAUAGAACAUAACAUGUCAAUUGAAGCAAAGGGGGCAAAUAAUGGAAACAGGACAAAAAUUUUUGGAUUUUCACUCUGAAUGGUUCUUUUGAAGUAACCAGUGAUCCUUUUUGCUUAUCACUUCAUUCACAGAAUGGACGAAGAUAGAUUUGACUGUAUGGUUUUUGAAAUGGAGGAUAGAAAUACACAGAACAAGGAAGCAGUAGCUCUAACCUGUUUGAUUCAAUGUGUUUUCUAAAAUAAAAACACCAGAACUGGGAAUGAAAUAGUAUGGGGUGUGAUUUGUUCUUUUGGCAGUCAUUUCUGCCCACUCCAUCUUGUAUGAAUUCACUUCAGUCCAUAUGGCUAGAUUUGAAGUCUAGCUCCACAUGUGUCAUUCUUUUUAUUCUUUUCUUCAGUAUGCAAGAUGAAACUCCUUUGUUUUUGACAUACUGAUCUUUCUAUGAUAUGUUUUGAAAUGAUUACUCCCCUUGGUGCAUAGGCAUUAAAAUAUGUAUCAUUUUACUUAUAAAUAUGUAUUACGUGGAUUUACCUCUGCCCCUUUCAUCCCUCUUUAUCUGUCUAUGCUAAAUAAUUGUUUCUGUGUUUGUUUGUUUUUUAAUCUCUGAAGAAAUCCAGCCUUUUUUCUGUUUCACUCUGACAAGGCUCUGCCACACACUCAUCACAGCAUCACUCACUACGUUUUAAUCUUCUUGUGACUAGAGAUCAUGUCUGACCUAAUAUAUUUGAACUAUAUAAGAUCUGAUACAUAUAUGUGCAUACGGAGGCAGCCCUAGUACCUCAGACCAAACCUAUGGAUAUUCUUUGUUGUCAGGUGUCGAUACAAAUUCUAAUCCCAUUAUUUACUGUUUACCUGGACUUUGGACAAGUCAGCCCCUUCAAGCCAUAGAGGGGUAUUUGUAAAAAAAACGGAAACAAUUGUACUUUACUAGAUUAAUGUGUAAGUAUAGCUUUGCUACAAUACAUGUAUAGUGCUUAACACAUAGUUGAAUAAUAAAUACUAAUUGUCCUUUAAUUAUAUAAAUUUUGGUUUUGGAUAUCUUAUUCAAGAACUGCUGAAUCUUUUCAUCUCAGAAUUAGAGUCCAUAAAGUUUUCUUUGUUGAUCAUUUUCCACUUUUCCUAUUGAAGCUCCUUUCGCAAGAUUUUGUGGUUGGAACAUUGUGCACACAUGUAGUGUUUUUCCUAAUCUGCACUGCUUAUUCCUUGUCUCCACACUUCAGUGACUGAUUUAUAUAAGAUACCUUUUAUCUCAUAUUUGCUCCAGUUUUUCCCUAUCAGCUCAUAACAAAAAUACUUUUUCUUCUAACUCAGGAGAAUGAAACAAGUGAGGAAUAGGCAUAUGAUGCACUGUAAGGAAUCACUUAGGGUGGUAUGACUUGACCUCCCAGAAAUGGUUUGAAGUGACUUAACAGACAUAUUAAAACAAAAUGAGAAGAUUGAGAUAAAGCCAAAAUAAAGGGCAAAAAUUGGGUGAAACAGGGAUUAAAAUCAUGCAAAUGCAUACUAUGAGGUCCUAUACAUUUGCUUGGAAGUGGAACAAAAUUGGCAGAAGAGAAUACGGUAAUUAGAAGAUUCAUAGUAACCUUAGGAUAGAAGCAAAUUUAUUGCACUGGAGAGGGAUUAUGUUCUGAUCUUUGAGAUAGCUCACAAUGCAGAUCAGUAUCGUGACACUAAAAUGCAAUCCAUUAAAGCCAGCACAGUAAGAAGUCCUCUUGAUGGUCGGAGCUGAUUCAAUGAUAAAAAUUUAAAUUUCCUCAAAAUGACCUACAACCACCUAUAUCAUAAUCACUUGAAUUACUUAUUUAGAAUAUAGAUUCUAGGGCCCUAGACCAAAAACCUGCUUUUUGACAAACUCAAGUGACUUUCUCGCACCAAUGUUUGAGAACCACUGCCCUAAAUCUUGUCAGCACCUUUUCUUAAAGGUGCCUUUAAGAAAACAGCUCAGGGGGCACCUGGGUGGUUCAGUUGGUUAAGCCUCUGACUUCAGCUCAGGUCAUGAUCUCCCAGUUCGUUGGUUCGAGCCCUGCGUCGGGCUCUGUGCCGACAGCUUGGAGCCUGGAGCCUGCUUCAGAUUGUCUCUCUCUCUCUCUUUCUCUCUCUCUUCCUCUCUCAAAAAUAAAACAUUAAAAAAACAAAAAACGGAUCAGAAACAUACCUAAGCUCUCUGUUCUGUGAAAGGACAAAGUAAAUAUUAGGCUUUACCACCUGCAUAUGGUCUCUGUUGCUUUUUAAAAAAUAUUUUCUUAACUCUUUAAAAACAUGUUAGCUCAUAGGUGAUACAAAACAGGCUGACACCUACUCUAGAGGAAUGGGUGGAUUGAAUGUACCUUAGGCAGUAAGUAAUCAACGAAAUAACAAUUCUCUAAACUGGAGGCUUUGUUAACCGUAGAGUUAUUUGCUGUGGUAGGAAAACUGGUGUAUUGAAAUUCUGUGUAGUGAACCAAAAAUGAUGCUUUGGUAGUCAAGGAAGAGUUGAUAUCACCAUGAAAGUUAGCUUAAGUAGAAAUAUCUGAACAGAAAGAUGGGGUUUAUGUGACCAAAAUGUGAUUUAGCACGGAGUCCUUCAAGUUUCUUAAUACUUGAAGGUUCAGUAAAUAAAGUUCAAAUGGAUGACCUUGAUGGGUUGUUUAGUUUAAUUUGUUUUUAGUUCCCCUGUACUCAGCUGCUAAUUACUCAGGGAAAAACAAAAA